ACGGCGAGUGAAGAGGGAAAAGCCCAAAUUUGUAAUCUGGCUCUUUUAGAGUCCGAGUUGUAAUUUUGAGAACUGUUUUCCGUGCUGGACCAUGUACAAGUCUGUUGAAAAACAGCAUCAUUGAGGGUGAAAAUCCCGUACAUGAUAUGGACUACCAGUGCAAUGUGAUACAGUCUCUAAGAGUCGAGUUGUUUGGGAAUGCAGCUCAAAGUGGGUGGUAAAUUCCAUCUAAGGCUAAAUAUAGGUGAGAGACCGAUAGCAAACAAGUACCGUGAGGGAAAGAUGAAAAGAACUUUGGAAAGAGAGUUAACAGUACGUGAAAUUGUUAAAAGGGAAACAUUUGAAGUUAGACUUGUUAUUGUUGGUUCAGCUUUCUUUUUUGAAGGUGUAUUCCAAUGGUUAACAGACCAGCAUCAAUUUUUGGGUGUUAGAUAAGGGUCUUGAGAAUGUAGCAAUUUCGGUUGUGUUAUAGCUCUUGACUUUGAUAUAAUGCUUAGGAUUGAGGAACGCAGUGAGC
rnacentral:rRNA from 1 species